UUGACGUCAUCCUCAAGAGCACAAUAAAAGCAGUGUGGUUUCUUGAGGCGGUGCCCUUGGUCCCUGAGACCUUGAGUCCCCUGGUCCCACCUUUACUUAAGAUAAAUGUCUCUGGGUCUUGUUUUACGUUAACUUUUUCUUAAGUUUCACAGCACCUGUUCUUCAGCCCGCACCUGCUGAGGUGGUCUCAGCACCCUCUCCCCCUGGCUCACUGUCCUUUUGUGUAUCACUUUUAGGAGUCUGGAUUAGCCGCACACUGUCAGAGGCAGACGGGGCCUCAAGAUUCUGGUUCUAUGCCCAGGGACCCUUAGCCCUUAAGAGCCCCUGAUCAUGACCUUGAGCUGGGCAAGAUUUGCAAGACAGCCCAUAAGCAGAUCGACCUACACUUUGUCUCAUCCCUGUGUGGUUGGACAUGCAGCUUCUAGCUAUGUGGUUGGGACAGGGAUCUCCUAGCCAUUUGGUUCAUACCAGGAUCUCCUGCCUGUGUGGCUAGAAUAAGGACCUCCUACCCAAGUGGUUGGGACAGGGGGUCUCCUACCCGUGGUUAUAAUAAGGAUCUCCUUGCUGCGUGGUUGGGACCAGCUGACUAAUUCCCAGGCUCAGAAUUAGACCUAGAAUGUGCAGAGAAAAGGGGGCCAGAAAGAUUAAGUAACCAGUCCAAGGUCAACAGCUAGUCAAAGCUAUGCCUGACCCACAACCCAGAGGUUUUGCUUUGGGAAUGUGCUCAGAGGAUCAAGAAAAAUCUUCCCAGAAUCAAAUGUGAGUGGUCUUUAGGGCAGCUGAUCUGAGGGUUCAUGGCUUAUAAGGAAGAGCACUUUUUUUUUUUCUCACCAGGGACUCUGUACUGCUCUUCAGUGACACCCUGCACAUGAGCUCUCCCGGGCACAGAUUGAGCCGUCCAGCAAGGUUAAGAAGCCAGCUGGAGGAAGAGUCAGCAGCCCUCAAGUUUGACACUUGUCACUCUUGUUUUUCUACGUUGGGAUCUAACAAGAGGAUUCAAGAAGAGAACUACUCGUCAAGCCAUCAUCUGGUCACUGGCUGCUCUGUUGAUGCUUUCAGCCAGACUCUAGGAUAUCAGCGGAGAUUUGGUUUUGGCAAAAACAAAAAAUUUUUAUAGUCCCUGAUAGAAAUUCCUUAUCCAGAAGGGCAUCAAAGCCAGGGGGCCUUCAGAGUAAGGGAUAAAUCCACUCCAGGCUGGUGGGAGGGUCCCCUUAGCCAUUUUGCCCCUCACCUGAGGAAGAGGGCAGGUGAGGGGAGACUGGUUUCCACUGGAAACAGAGAAAGUCCCUGUGGACAAAGAUUGUCACCUGCCACUUCAGGAAACAAAGGAUGCUGCAGCCGGAGUUCCCAUCGUGGCUCAGUGGUUAAUGAAUCUGACAAGGAACCAUGAGGUUGCAGGUUCGAUCCCUGGCCUCACUCAGUGGGUUAAGGAUCCGGCAUGAGCUGUGGUGUUAGGUCGCAGACACGGCUUGGAUCUGGUGUUGCUGUGGCACUGGUGUAGGCCGAUGGCUACAGCUCCGAUUAGACCCCUAGCCUGGGAACCUCCAUGUGUCAUCACAGGUGCGGCCCUGGAAAAGACAAAAACAAAAAACAAAAAAAAAAGGAUGCUGCAGCCAUCAAGCCCACAGCUACUGUAGCUGCCAUGGACUGUGAACCCUGAAGGUACUCAGGAUGGAGAAAACAGGACACUGGCCUGUCACGAGACAUGUUUCUACAACAUUUUCUUAACCUCUUUGCUGAAAACCCCAUCUUGUCCUGCUUUACUUGACCCCGUCUUCUUGCUUGAAAACAGUCUCCUACUGGUAAAUGACUUAAGCUUAAGAACAAAGACCUAAAGGCAUGAGUUAUUCAUAGGGUCAGCUGAAUGAGGACUUAAUGCAUUGGUCUAGGCACAUCCAGACCUGUGCAGAUUGGCAUGCCUUUUGCACAGCAGGAUAUGUCCUCUGAAGAAUAAAAGAAGGAGGAAUUUCA
ensembl:lncRNA